rnacentral:pre_miRNA from 1 species
GCUCAGGCUUCCCAGUGUUCAGACUACCUGUUCAGGAGGGUCGAACGCUGUACAGUAGUCUGCACAUUGGUUAGGCCGGGUU